AGAAAUACAAUGAAAAGGAAGAGUAGAUUUAGCUUAGUUUUCAGCGAGUUGGGAAGUGGUGGAAGCCCAAUAAUGAUGGCUCUAUUGAAGACACCUUAGAGUAGGUUAUCUGAACCAAUAGUAGGAUAGCACGCAAACCGGCGUUAAAGGUAAAAGUGGGAUUUUCCAAUUAGGGUGGUACCGCGGGAUAUAAAACUUCUCGUCCCUGUC
rnacentral:ncRNA from 1 species